GUGCUAGCUUCAGCAGCACAUAUACUAAAAUUGGAAUGAUACAGAAAAGAUUAGCAUGGCUCCUGCACAAGGAUGAUAUGCAAAUUCAUGAAGCGUUCCAUAUUUUU
ensembl:snRNA U6 U6 spliceosomal RNA